UUUAGCAGUUUCAAACAUUUUAAUUGAAGAACAUUCUGUAACAGCCUGUUCUGUGCUGCUGGUCCCUCCGUCUUCCUCGCUCGCUGUGUGUACUCUUGCAGCGCCAUCUUUGUGAGCACGGGAUCAAAGGAGAAAUGUUACAAGGUAGGGAGCCAGGAAAACACGGUGGAGGUAAAAAUGGGCGGAACCGGCGACGCAGACCAACCAGCUUCCUUUCAUUUCAGGGUUGCGGUCGUGGCCCCUCCUCCUGCACUUUUCCACUGCUGGUGCUAGCAACAAUCUCAGCACUUUUUGAAAAGGAUCAUUCCAUUUAAUCAGAGGCUACAAAGGUAAAAUGAAUAUCUAUAUUCAGCAGGUAAGCAAAGUUAAAUCACACAUGCACACACAGACACACUUAAUAUAAGUUUAGGUUGAAACAAUGUAAAUCAGGUAAAGUAUUCAGCAUCAGGUUGCAGCUUUGUGCAUCUCUCACUCUGCCCAUUUCAUGUGGCAAACUAAAAUUUACUGCACGAGAAGCUGGUAUGUAUGGCUUGUACCGCAAGGCUGCAUACAUGCACUAAAGUGCAUGUUUGGUGUGCACUACGGUGCACCACAGAUACUGCCACAAAAGCAGAAAGCCUGUAGGCAGAUGAGCAAGAGAGUAUCUCAUUCUUGCUUUUUUUGGACAAGUUGGACAAGUUAAAUGUUAACAACAGGUUAAUAUGAAUCUCAGGCCACCAGACCCAGUGAUUCAGAUGGCAGUCUGCCACUGGUCUGUUGAGUUCACUUUCAUAUCUAUGGUAUCACUUUAUUCUUUUAGCUUUACUACAAUUAAUCACUUUUAGUCAUACUGGUGAAAAAACAAAAAUGUAAUGCUGCUUGACUAUAAUAAAUUAGAUUAUCAAACCAGGAUGAGGCUUUUAUUUUGAAGACACCAAACAGCAUAUUUCUUACCACAUUAGCAUGAUAUAAUGGGUGUACAAGUGAGAUGGGUCUCCAAAUCUAUAUUAAAAAGUGUCUGGAAAAGUAGCACAAGCAGAAACAAGUGAGCAGCCAAUGAGAGAGAGAUGAAGAAGGACAAAUGGCAGGCACUACAUUGCUUGUUCUGGCAAACCACAUUUUCAACACAGUCAACAAGUCCCUUUAUCUAUGCCACCAUGCCUUGAAGGGCUGUGGCUUUUAUUACGUGCAUCAAAAAUAGCUUCAGUUAAAGCUGCAUGCCAUGCUUUUCUGGCAGUGAACUGCCUGGAACACCAUGGGAAAUGAAUAACACCAACCCACUUGACUCUGGGGUUGUGGAAAGGUGUUAUCUGAAGAGAUGAAUCAUCACCUGUCAGGUUUGCUGGAAGCCAGGAGGUGCUACUUGCAUUGUCUGGGCAUGGCUGUUCAUCAACUCAAGUGAAACCAGCAUUAAUUCAAGCAUCAAUCACUAAAAUUCUCCUAUUUUUCGGUGCAAGGUAACCGACUUGGGGUCAUUAAAUGCCAGCUCACCAUUUUAAACAAUAUAUUUUCUUGGGGAAAAAAUUAUUUGAAAACCUUACCUAAAGCUUAACUCCAAAUAUGUGUUAGUUAAUUACACGGGGAGUUAAAUUUGAUCUUUUUUUGCAACGGACUGGUUUGAAAUUUCUUUUGAACAUCCAGAAAAAGUAAAAGUAAAAGGCUGAAACUCGGAAGUUUCACUGAAUGCUUUACAACAUUAAAAAUAUGGAUUGAUAGCAGCGCUAGUAGAUCUUUUUUCUUUUUACCUAAACAAAGAUUUGAGCUUAAUGUCUUGAUUAACUUUUACUGCAACCAAACUGGGACCGUUGAGCCAAGCACUGCAUUCUUGGUGUGCAUGCUCAUACAGUACCAACUUGUCAAUCUGUAGUUUGUAUCACACCAGAAAAGUGUUUAGUAAGGUUUUAAACUCACUGUGACUCAGUUUGCAACCAGUGGAGUUAAUGCACCAAGCCAUGAUAUCUCCAAAAGUUGAUUCGCUUCAUCUGGACGUAGCGUUUUCAGUGGGAGAAAUGUUUCGUCAUCAUCCAAGUGACUUCUUCAGUCUCAGCUGAUAUAUUUUGUCAUUUAGGUGAGUUGAUAUGAAAUAGAUUCAAAGAUUGGGCGAUCGUGGCUUAAGAGUUGGGAGUUCGCCUUGU